CUCCGAGGUCAGCGACUUGGCGCUGCUCAGCGGGAGCGGCCGGCAGAAGGCGGAGGACGCGGACAGAGGGGACGAGGACAGGCGGCAGCAGCCCAUUCCCAAGCUCAACCCACCGCCACCCAUCCUACGCAAGAGGUCAAGCAAGACCUCCCCGAGCCUAGAAGUGGACAUUAAGCCUGAGAGCACUGCCCACGUGAGCCUCCCCAGCCCCAGUGUGUCCGGCCUCACCAGCAUCACUGCCACCUCCCUCACCCUCCUGGACCCUGAGGCAAGGACUCCUGCACGGAGCACUGCUGCCAACGCAGAGCCCCUCUCUGUUGGGACCUACCAACAUGUUCUGAGCAAGGACAGGUCUGGAGAGAAUGGGCACACAUCCCCUCCAUCCAGCAUCCAUGAUCCCACAGCCAGUGAUGCCCUGAGCAAGGACUUGGCCUCACUGCUGAGCCCCACGGACAGCACACUGCCGUUCUCCCCUGCAGAUGACACCUGUUUGCACAUCAGCUUCUCAGAAGAUGAGCUGCUGGAGCCGGAGCUGGACACUACUGUGGGGCCCAGCAGGGUCCCUUCUUAGUCGGACACAGCACCGGCAGCUGGCUGACAGGCAGUCACAGUGGCUCUUUCCACAUCACUCCCUCUGCUCACUGGGGUUACAGGGUCCCUGCACCCUGCCUGGGUCAGGUUCCUUCACUGUCCCUGCUCCAUGCAUCAGCUCCUGCCAUGUGUGGGCUGCAGCAGAGAGUGCAACCCGGUCAGCCCCUGUCCUGUUCUGCACCAGUUCAUGCUGUCUUCCUGCUUUGCCCAGCCCUUUUGUGUUCUGUCCUUCCCUUGGUCAGACAUGCCAAGUGGGUCUUUGUCCCAGGGAGCUCUCACUUCUGCUGCCUGGCAGAAGCACAGAUCCCACUCAUUACCAAAUCCCUGGCUGCUGCAGACAGCCCCAGCUCCACAUCCUUCCCACUGCAUCCCCCAGCCCCGCUGUGGUGGGGUGGCCUCAGGAGGGAGAGAUGCAGACACCUCACUGCCUUGAGACCAGUCCUGUUUUGGAGACAGCAGCUUCACCGCCCCACUGCUGUGUCCCUGUGCAGCAAUGCCACCACUGCCUCCCUCCAAAGGUGCCUUUUCCUAUGCUGGGCCACUUACUGUCCACACAGACUGGGGCUGCCCUGCGAGAGGCUGGUAUGGGGUGACUGCCCACAGGGGAGUGUCGGGAGCCCCAUGCCACAGCAGGUGCUCUGCAUAUUUUGGGGUGGCACAGAGGCAGCUGCUCCAUGCACACCUCUCUGAGCACUUUGGGGCUGCUCUGUCAUGUUGGGGUGUUAUGAAAUGGCUCAGUGUGAAGUUGGAAGCAUGAAUGUCUGGGGUUCAGUUUGCAGAUGGAAGGUUUAAGGAAGAAACCCAGCCCUGUGGGGAGAGCCAAGGCAAUACUUGGUGCUGCCUCACAGCCCUCAUCAGCACAGGCUGGAGCUGGUUCUGGGGAGGGACCCUGGGAGGUGAUCCUCCACUCACUGUUUGCAAGAGGAGGUUUGGGAAUGUGCUGGAGGCUCGAGUUGGGGAAGUGUCAGGAGAUGGAAGCUCAGAGCAGCCAUUCUGCCCCAGUGCAGAGUGUGGCAGGACCUCAACAGCACAGCACUGUGGGGCCCAGGGCUGACCAGGAGCCGAUGGGAGCGGAUGACAGAGGGCCCGUGGCACCACCAGCACUGCUGAGGACACAUGAUGGGAGCUGUGGGUUUGUAAAGCUGUGGUUGGGCCGCGUGUUAGUGUGGUAGAGACAGAUGGACCACUCCUUUAGGAAAUAAAGUACACUGCAGUUUGGUAACUGAGUUUUAAAGAAAAUAAAUGCCUCGAAUUUGCA